GAUUCAAUCUGUAGAGCAUGAGACUUUUAAUCUCAGGGUCAUGGGUUCAAGUCCCAU
rnacentral:tRNA from 1 species